rnacentral:rRNA from 1 species
GAUGAACGCUGGCGGCGUGCCUAAUACAUGCAAGUCGAACGAGGUGCUUGAGUAGCAAUACAAGAGUAUCCUAGUGGCGAACGGGUGAGUAACGCGUGGAUGACCUGCCCCAAAGUGUGGGAUAACAGUCCGAAAGGAUUGCUAAUACCUCAUGUGGUUAUCGGAUUUAGAAACUGAUAACUAAAGCAGCAAUGCGCUUUGGGAGGGAUCUGCGUCCCAUCAGCUAGUUGGUGAGGUAACGGCUCACCAAGGCGACGACGGGUAGGGGACCUGAGAGGGUGGCCCCCCACAAUGGAACUGAAACACGGUCCAUACACCUACGGGUGGCAGCAGUAGGGAAUAUUGCUCAAUGGGCGAAAGCCUGAAGCAGCAACGCCGCGUGUGCGAUGAAGGCCUUGGUCGUAAGCACUUUCUACGUAGAUGAGAAAGGACAGUAUACGUAGGAAUAAGUACUCGGCUAACUACGUGCCAAC